GAGCACGUAGGUGGGUUUGUAAGUCAGGUGUGAAAGCCUUCUGUUCAACGGAAGAAUUGCAUCCGAAACUACAAGUCUUGAGUGUAGGAGGGGAGAAUGGAACUUCUGGUGGAGCGGUGAAAUGCGUAGAUAUCAGAAGGAACGCCGGCGGCGAAAGCGAUUCUCUGGCCUAUUACUGACACUCAGUGUGCGAAAGCUAGGGGAGCAAACAGGAUUAGAUACCCUGGUAGUCCAUGCCGUAAACGUUGGGCACUAAGUAGAGGGG
rnacentral:rRNA from 1 species